GGCUAAGGUAACAUCCCCAGUACGUACUUGAAAACCAGAGUAAUCUGAAUGUGCCUUUCCUGGUUAAAUACUUUGUUAUUAUAACUUGUUUUAACCUUUUUAUUUAAAGUUUAUAUAACAGAUUUUCCAAAUUACAGCAUAACCCGGUUCAGCCAAGGCACACAAUGCAAAUGAAGGGGAGAUAGAGAAACAUUGGGGGGGAUUUAUCAAAGUGUCACUGACACAUUUACAUUUAAUUAAAAACAGCAAAUAUUUGAUGCAAUUCAAUAAAUCUAGCAUUUUCAGCAGUACCUUCGUUUGCUUCCCAAUUAUCAUUUAUGAUAAUGGCUGUUUUUCAGUUAUGCUACAGAUUUGUCAUUCUUCUCUUCACUUUUCCUAAAAGAAACAGAUUUUGUUUCAAAUCUUUUUCCCAUAAUUCUAAAUUUGACAAUCUUCUGAGAUUAAAAUUUCUGUGAAAACCUGCUGCAUUUACUGUGAACAAAAACCAUCACUUUUUAGAUCACAUUAAUAAACCUGUAUAUGUCCAAAUAAUGAUGGAAUUUAACGGUGUGCUCAGAACACUGUGAUAAAUAUCCCCAAUCUCCUCUGUGUGUGCUCUCUCUAUGGCAGGUGUAAGGGGCGGAGCUUAUAACAAUGAUUGACAGGGAGCUAAGAUGGAGGCGACUCUCUCUAUACUGAAUACCAGGUGUAAAGGGCGGAGCUUAUAACAAUGAUUGACAGGGAGCUAAGAUGGAGGCGACUCUCUCUAUACUGAAUACCAGGUGUAAAGGGCGGAGCUUAUAACAAUGACUGACAGGGAGCUAAGAUGGAGGCGACUCUCUCUAUACUGACUGCCAGAUGUAAAGGGUGGAGCUUAUAACAAUGACUGACAGGGAGCUAAGAUGGAGGUGGCUCUCUCUAUACUGACUGCCAGGUGUAAAGAGCGGAGCUUAUAACAAUGAUUGACAGGGAGCUAAGAUGGAGGUGGCUCUCUCUAUACUGACUGCCAGGUGUAAAGGGCGGAGCUUAUAACAAUGAUUGACAUGGAGCUAAGAUGGAGGUGGCUCUCUAUACUGACUGCCAGGUGUAAAGGGCGGAGCUUAUAACAAUGAUUGACAGGGAGCUAAGAUGGAGGUGGCUCUCUCUAUACUGACUGCCAGGUGUAAAGGGCGGAGCUUAUAACAAUGAUGACAGGGAGCUAAGAUGGAGGUGGCUCUCUCUAUACUGACUGCCAGGUGUAAAGGGCGGAGCUUAUAACAAUGAUUGACAGGGAGCUAAGAUGGAGGUGGAUCUCUCUAUACUGACUGCCAGGUGUAAAGGGCGGAGCUUAUAACAAUGAUUGACAGGGAGCUAAGAUGGAGGUGGCUCUCUCUAUACUGACUGCCAGGUGUAAAGGGCGGAGCUUAUAACAAUGAUUGACAGGGAGCUAAGAUGGAGGUGGCUCUCUCUAUACUGAC